rnacentral:siRNA from 1 species
UCCAACUGCGGUACAUGUGGGAA